rnacentral:lncRNA from 1 species
GGAGUGUGUGUGUGUGUGUGUGUGUGACCGGGUCUUGCUAUGUAGUCUAGGCUGGCCUCAAACUAUUCUCCACCAUCCUCCUGCCUCAGCCUCCCAGAGCUUUGGGGUGACCGGAGUGCGCCACCACGCCCAGCGUCUGCAUUUGAUUUUGGUGGCAGCCGGGAGUCCAGAGACGCUCCAACAGCAGCGCAUGCGCACCUGUGACAGCGCAUCUGGGUGCUCCUCGCCCUCCCUCACCCUUCCGGGCUCUGCUGCCCAAUGCAGGCUUCCCCAGAGGCGCAGCCAGGAUCGCUCUCCUUUCUCCUCCCUGUAUCCCCGGGCCCCGGCGCAGGACACUGGGUGCUGGGUAGCUAUCUGGCUACUCAAACAGAAGUUCAAGGGCCUUUGUACCUGUUGGCUGCUUCACUUGCCUACACAGGCACAGCGUGUGUUUGUUGAUUGACUUACUGACGGACUCUGAAGUUUUUUAUAUGCAAGAUAGGAGCCAGAGUCCCCUUCCCGAUGAGCUCAGGUCAGGGAUGCUUCCUUUGGGGGUUGGAGACGGGGCUGGCCACUCCCGACCGUCUCAAGGGAACACAUUCGCGGAGGAGAGGGCCAGGCCCCGAGAGGACCGGAAGUGGCGCCUGGCUGUGUCCUGAGCCCUGUCCCUUCCCUGGCAAGUGUUCCUGCGGACCCUUCCAUCGGAGCGCACUGGCACUGGCUCGGCAAAGCCGCGCUGACCCCAGGGGGACCCCGCUCUGCCCACCGCGGAGAACUUGUUCACUUGUUGACUCGCGCUUCUCCGGCUGGGGUGGGCACGGGUGGGAGCAAGGGGGCU